rnacentral:tRNA from 1 species
UUAUUAUUAUUUUGGCAGAAUAGUGCAUUAAAUUUAGAAUUUAAAUAUGUAAUUUUACAAAUAAUAC